rnacentral:rRNA from 1 species
UCUACCUACGGGAGGCAGCAGUCGAGAAUCAUUCACAAUGGGGGAAACCCUGAUGGUGCGACGCCGCGUGGGGGAAUGAAGGUCAUAGGAUUGUAAACCCCUGUCAUGUGGGAGCAAAUUAAAAAGAUAGUACCACUAGAGGAAGAGACGGCUAACUCUGUGCCAGCAGCCGCGGUAAUACAGAGGUCUCAAUCGUUGUUCGGAAUCACUGGGCGUAAAGCGUGCGUAGGCUGUUUCGU